UGGUGAUCCAGGCAGGAAGUGACAUAGUAAGGAGACUCAUAUUUAAGUGAAGGAGAAACAGGAAAGGUCCCCUUUUCCCCUUGCUCCUCCAGCAGCAGGAUGUGAUCCACCGGCAAGGAGGGACACCAAUAAGGCAUCUGAUAAGAUAAGUCUUAUAAAAUAUAUAGAUUUGUGAUAAUUAAGACUGAGCUAACAAAUGAGGAAUCCUAGUCAUUGGCCAAGCAGCUUUGAACCUACUACAAGUUUCUGUGUAUUCAUUUGGGCCUAACUCGGGUGGGCGGCUGGCGUAAAGCUCACACGUGACAGUGGGGCUCAGGAGGCUUCUGGCGGAAAGAUUUAUCGUAACACUGCCUCUGUGUCACUUUAGAUCUACAACUACCUCAAAUGCUUUAAGUUACCCGGUGAAGGUCAGGGACAAUUCACCAUGGUAACCUGACGCUGAGCUCUGAAUGCAGGUGUGCAUAAGUAUGAUUCGGCAAUUUAGAAUUUACAAACCGAGGGCACCAUGCAGCUACUGGCAACUCAGCCAUUGGCCUCAACUCACCUGCUUCUGGGUCAUAGAUGUUUACCAUGAUAUAAGUCACAAACCACAUGAUGGAGUCAUCCUGGGUACUCAUUCCCAGAUGAAUGGGUAAAGGAAGUGUGUACAGAUGGAGUAGUAUUUGGCCACAAGGAAGAAGAAAACUGUGACAGUUAUAAGAAAACUGAUGGAACUAGAGAUCAUGAUGUCAAAUGAAAUCAACCAGACUGUAUUUUCUCUUUCAUAUAAGACUAUAUGAAACCCAGUGGGUUUGACAUCACAGAAGGAGGAGGGCUAUAAGUGAAGGGGAUGGGGAAAAGGGGAGAAGAGAGGGACAAGACAGGUGAGACGUGAAUAUGAACAAAGUGUGUUACAUGCACACUUGAAACCAUUGCAGUGAGCCCAUUCCUUUGUACCCCUAAACACAUUUAAAAUGUAGAAGCAAUACCUGUUGUGUCCCGCUGAUGCUAAAGACGGCAGUCAGGAAAACAUGGAGAAAUGUAAGCAGUUCAAUUUGUAAUUGAAAGAGCUCAAAUCAAGCACUCUUAGCAGAGAAGCUUAACUGACCUUUGGAAACACAGGCAGAUAAUACCAAACCCAGGGGUAUUGAGCCCAAGUUAAAACUGCAUGGGGUGUCCGCCGACCAACCCAGGAACUAGAACCCUCAUCCAGCGGCUGAUGGAAGCAGAGACAGACAUCCACAGUUAUACACUGAGCUGAAAUCUGGAAUUUAGUUGAAGAGAGGGAGGAAUGAAGAGCGAAGGGGUCUGUACCAGGUUGGAGAAACCCACAGGAACAGUUGGCCUGAACAAGGGAGAGCGCAUCGACCCCAGAUGCUGUCUGGGAGGCCAGUACAAGACUGAUCCAGACCCCUGAACAUGGAUGUCAAUAAGGAGGUCUCUGCACUCCAGGGAGCAUCUGGUUGUGUAUUAGUAUUUUUCCC
rnacentral:lncRNA from 1 species